UACAGAGGGUGCGAGCGUUAAUCGGAAUUACUGGGCGUAAAGCGCACGUAGGUGGCGACGUAAGUCGGGUGUGAAAUCCCCAGGCUUAACCUGGGAACUGCAUUCGAGACUGCGUUGCUAGAGUAUGGGAGAGGGAAGUGGAAUUUCCGGUGUAGCGGUGAAAUGCGUAGAUAUCGGAAGGAACAUCAGUGGCGAAAGCGACUUCCUGGACCAAUACUGACGCUCAUGUGCGAAAGCGUGGGGAGCAAACAGG
rnacentral:rRNA from 1 species